AUUGAACAUUAUUUCUGAUUCCACAGCUCCAUAUUCUGUAAUUUUAAGAAGAUACCUCUUCAAGGCUCAAGAUAACUUGUAGUCUUAACAAAAAGUGUCAGUAUAGUUCAGUUCCCAGUUCCUGUUACAAAUACAAAUGGUGACCUAUAUAUUUAUUUGUAUUAUUUAAAGACUCCAUUGAAUGGAUAAACAUCUCUUCCUUCACCUUUAUGUGUAAAUAUCUUUUCCUUCUUGGAGUACCUUUGGGAAGCUAUAUGGCUGUCUGAGGACUAAAAUCACUGCUUUUAGAGCUAUAAAAGAUGGACUUCAUCUUCCACAACAUGAGAAGUUGGAUAUACAUCCCAGGUAGCAGAUGUGGAAUGCUCAGAACCAAGUGUGAUUCUCAUGUCUGCAAAUCUGCGUUCCCUCUCCGACACCUGUGUUUGGACAAUACUUCUGUGACAGUAGGAAAAAGGAAAAGUUGUAUUGAUUCUUCUGUAUAUCUUAGCUCUUUGAAAUUUGAUUUGAGUCUUCUGUGAUUCCCUCCAGUCACUAACCUCUUUACUUUUGAACCUAACCCAGCAAAGAAAUGGGACAUACAUGAACACCAACUGAUAGCAAAGCCUUAUGGUAUAUACAGAGUAUAAGUUUAAUUAUUAGUGCUUACUUUGAUAUAGCGUCACUUGAAAUGAAAAUUUUCAAUAAGAUUUUCCAUUUACAGCUUAAAUAUUUUGAAGUAUCCCCAAAUAUUUUUUGGCCACUUUAGCCAUCUCUGCUUAAGCAGUGCAUGUGACAGAGAAGGGGACAGAGGAAUUCAUGUAUGUGAGGGAAGUUCCAUUGCCCAGGGAUAUGCUAAGGCAAUCCUUGAUGUGUUACUACUGUUUGCAUAACUCUUCAGUGUGAAGACUGUGUUUCAUCUGUGAUAAUGAAAUCAGUGCUUUUGAACCACUCUCAACUUCCCAUAGGACCAGCUAAAUAUGUACCUAUAAUCACAAAAUGAUUUGUCUUGAUAUAACUCAGCGUGAUCAUUUAGUGUGGUCAAAAUGACUGAUUCUUACUUUGUUUUUCAAUCUCUGGAGAAGGGAAUAAAAUGACUUCCUUUUGGCAUUUCACUGCAGAUGCAGUCAUCCAAGAAACUCCACAUAAAGCCAAAUUUCAUGUUUUGUUUUUCUUUAAGAGAUAUUGUAAUGGAUGUACGUUGUACAUUUAAUUGUUUUCAUAGAAUUAAUUUCACUAUAUAUAUGUAAAAUUGUUUAAUGGGUGUGUAAUGCUUUUACAAUAGAAGAAUGGUGAAUGUAAAUACCUGGUAUCUUGGAGAACAUUGAUGACUAUUAUCAUGCAAUGUAUGACACGCGGAGGAAUGAAUGUUGAAAUAGUGUCAACCACAUCAAAUGUGAAACAUGUUAAUGUUUUUCCCCCUGAAUACAGUAGACCAAGACUAAUGCAUAGGAAUCAGGGAGUCUAGAAGAUUUGUGAAGGACUAUGGCAACUGAAGAUUGAAUCUGUGCUUGUAACUGUGCAUAAGUGUAAACAUAUGUAAAUGAAAUUUUAUGUUGCUGGGAUUAUAUUUGUCCAUACUAAUCUGGCAGAGAAAUCAUAAGCAUCUCUGUGAAUUUCAUACUGUGUCUGCCAUCAGUAACAGCCAUUGCACUUUCUCCUUUCCAAACAAUUCAAAAUUAAUAAAUUAUUUCUUGAAU
rnacentral:lncRNA from 7 species